rnacentral:rRNA from 1 species
AGUGAGCGCUGGCGGUAGGCCUAACACAUGCGAGUCGAACGGCAGCACAGUAAGAGCUUGCUCUUACGGGUGGCGAGUGGCGGACGGGUGAGGAAUACAUCGGAAUCUACUUUUUCGUGGGGGAUAACGUAGGGAAACUUACGCUAAUACCGCAUACGACCUACGGGUGAAAGCAGGGGAUCUUCGGACCUUGCGCGAUUGAAUGAGCCGAUGUCGGAUUAGCUAGUUGGCGGGGUAAAGGCCCACCAAGGCGACGAUCCGUAGCUGGUCUGAGAGGAUGAUCAGCCACACUGGAACUGAGACACGCUCCAGACUCCUACGGGAGGCAGCAGUGGGGAAUAUUGGACAAUGGGCGCAAGCCUGAUCCAGCCAUACCGCGUGGGUGAAGAAGGCCUUCGGGUUGUAAAGCCCUUUUGUUGGGAAAGAAAAGCAGCAGGUUAAUACCCCGCUGUUCUGACGGUACCCAAAGAAUAAGCACCGGCUAACUUCGUG